UCCGUAGGUGGAUCAAUCAGUCAGAGGUGAAAUCCUGCAGCUUAACUGUAGAACUGCCUUUGAUACUGUUGAUCUUGAGUCAUUAUGAAGUGGUUAGAAUGUGUAGUGUAGCGGUGAAAUGCAUAGAUAUUACACAGAAUACCGAUUGCGAAGGCAGAUCACUAAUAAUGUACUGACACUGAGGGACGAAAGCGUGGGGGACUAACAGGAUUAGAUACCCUGGUAGUCC
rnacentral:rRNA from 1 species